UCAGUUGUGUAGCUGAAUUUGUACAGCUGGUUGUUAUUCAGCCGGGGUCCAGCAGCACCACCUGAGGAAACAGCAGGACACACAGCUGUGAAAACGUGUUUUUGACAAGUGAAGACUGCUAAGCUUUCAUUUGAUGAAUGAACUCAGGCUAGAAGACUGGACAGCUGUAGUCUCUGUAAUGUCUGCAGUUCAGAAAUACUGUCUGUGGAUGGCACUGAGGUGAUUGAACCAGCAGCAAUUUAACAGGGCGUGUUCGACAUGACAGAAGAUAAAAAAAUCUCCCCACUGCUCUAUUAAUGAUGAGCUCUUCUGUUAGAUAUGACGUUUGUCCACGAGGGAAGACAGACUGACGUGUCAGUGUCUGAUUUCAUCACUGGUCGCUGAAGAGCGUGGGGCUGAAUUCAACAAAUACACAUUUUGUGUCAACAACUGGCUGAUAUUCUCAGGGAACAUCAGAAGCAAAACAGCAAGAGAAAAUAAAUAGA